CAGCCUAAGAGAAGGCCCAGUGCAGACACAAUCAGAGAAGGACUGGGAGUAAUCGGGAGGGCUUACUAAGGACUCUGAACAUGCUAGACCACGCUCACCCUGGAGACACCAAGGUUACCCCAGAGGCCACCAGCAAGUCCCCAUCCACCCGGCACCCCUCACGGAAGCCUCCACUUCGUCUGGGCUCGGCCUCCUUGGCUUCCACUUCAGGCCUUUGGGGAGAGGUUUAUGUUAACCAACAAAGGGAUUCUCUGAGAAGCCUGGGAACCCAGAAAGAAAAGCACGAGCUGAACUCUCCGUCUGCCUGCCUGGCAGGUGUGUAAGAGCUGGAGGGGGCAGGGGAGUGGCCGGGUCAGGGCGGCUCACUGUGGCUGCAGUCAGUCCCCGUCUGCAGGCGAGCCAACUCCGCUGACAGGCUGGGCCUCUCCCACAGGUUUUCCCUGGGACUAGACAAAAGAGGAAUAGAGACCAGAAAAAGGGCCAAGGCCUCAGAUAAAAAUUAAUUAACACUAUCUAUUUUUCUUUCUCUUUCUGAAGGUAAUCUCUUAAUCCUAAGAACUGGGAUUCACGUGUGCCCCUUGGUCCAUAACAAAAAGGGAAGGUCAGGAGGAAUCUGUCAUGUUCAAGGUCUCACCUAUUACGUUUACUUUUCUCAGUGGCUCUCUGUGUGGCAACCUCCUGUGAAGUGAAAUAGGCCUCUAGGCUCUGACUAAGAUGAGACAAUCAUGGCCAAGGAUGGCCAUCACCACGAAAGCUUUGAUGCGGAGAGACUGGAAACCGCAGGGAAACUGGCAUGUCAGGACUUGAGUUACUAAGGGAAAAGGAGGGACCGUAAUCGUUUCUCAAGUGCUUUCCAAAUAAGUCUUUAUUCCAUCAAUAGAUUUUUCUCUAUAUCCAAUUACACUCCACUUUCUCUCUGCCUCUAUCCAGGUACCAUGUUAGGGACUAAGAAAUCAGAGGCCUUGGAAUUAGAAGGUUCUUUCUGAGGUCUUUUUGUCUAGGCUUCUACGCUAUCAAGAUAGGAAAGCCUUCGCUCUCCUGGUCUCCAUCAUUUGGAAGUGGGGAGAAGGUGGCAGAAAAGGGAUGACAGGAAAUACAAAAAGUCAUUUGGAAGCAAUUGGAAAUUGGGAAGCUACUCCCAUUCUUUACCUAAGUAAAUGGACCACCGUUCACUCGGUUGUUCAAGCCAGACCCUUGGGCAAGCAUCACUGGGCCCUUCCCUCAUCCCCUCUGCAUCCACCGUGAGGGAUCCAAGCCCUUGUGACCUCUUGCCUGGGUUAUUGGAAUGGUCUCGACUGAUCUCCUGUCUAACGUGUCACUGUCCUUCAAUCUAACAACCAGAAUUUUCUUUCUACUACACAACUGGAUCAUGUUUCUUCUCUGCUUUAAUGGUUCCCCCUUUCUGUCAGAAUAAUUUCCAAACUACUAAGUAUAGCAUUCAAGACUCCCCAUGGGGGCUUCCCUGGUGGUGCAGUGGUUAAGAAUCUGCCUGCCGAUGCAGGGAACAUGGGUUCGAGCCCUGGUCUGGGAGGAUCCCACAUGCCACAGAGCAACUAAGCCCGUGCGCCACAACUACUGAGCCUGCGCUCUAGAGCCCGUGAGCCACAACUACGGAGCCUGUGUGUCUGGAGCCUGUGCUCCGGAACGGGAGAGGCCACGACAGUGAGAGGCCCGCGCACCGCAAUGAAGAGUGGCCCCCGCUUGCCGCAACUGGAGAAAGUCCUCGCACAGAAAUGAAGACCCAACACUGGCAAAAAAAAAAAAAGUGGAAGUGUAGCAGUUACAUAAUAAGAGACUCCCCCCAUGAUCAUCAGGCUGAUGCUUCUGCUGCCAUGUACCCCCCAGUAUUCAAAGGCUACCCUGAACUAGUAUGAUGUGCUCCAAGCUGCCUCCUGAACCUGGUACACUCUUCCUGGAUCAUCCCUUUCCCCACUCCGGCUAACUCUCGUCUGUCCUUCAGGCCUCAGGCUGGUUGUCCCUUCUUCUGGGCCGCUUCCCCGAACCCCUGCUACACUGGAUUAGGUACCUUUUCUCUUCAGUGGAUUCCCAUGACCUUCAACCUGCAGUGGCAACUCUCCCCAUUGCCAUGUCUGUCUCCUAGACUAGGCUGCAAGCUUGUACAGGUAGGGUGGAAAGGCCUUUUCCAUGUCUUUAAUUUGCAUGAAUUCAACGGUGUGUCCAUAUUAAAAAAGAGUGAGGGAGAGAGAGAGUGAGUGGAUGUUAUUUCAACGGUAUGAGCAAUCCUGAGUGAUUUCCACUGGGCAUCAGUCAACCUACAGGUGUCCCCACAUGGUGUCUUAGUGAGAUGAACGCGAAGCUCGGCUUGAAGGUUCUGUUUGCUUUUGUUUUGUUUCACAUCGCUCGGCCGCUAAACGUAAUCCACAGGCACCAUCUAGUGAGGAAGCAGCAAUAUGGUCCAGCACUGGAGGAGGUGCUGGUGACUCUGGACUUAUUGAGACACUGGGUUUCAUUCUCUAACACAGUGCAUCCCUAAGGGAUUUUCAAGAUGAUCGAUGCUAGAUUUAAUUUUUGCUUUCUGUGUGAUUUUUAGAACGAACACCCCUGUGAAAUACAACUCCGCUCUACUAGCCAAGCUUGCCCCCCUUUCUCCUGGCAACUACAUCCUCACCCCAUUUAUAUGGCUAUUACAGGAGCUGUCAUGGUCUCACCUGACCCAAGAGAGGACAACAAAUAUCUUCUUCUCCAAGAUUAUUGAGUUUGAGGUCCAGAUAAUUAAAGCCACGUCCUUUCUUGCAGGUGAAGCUGUAAGAUGAAAAACUCAAGGGCCCUAUUUUUCAGCACAUGACAAAAGCUAGUCCACUGAAAGGAACAGACAAGAUGGAGAGAGACGUGACCUGAAAACGGCAAAGGCUGGGUCAGCAGGUGUGUGCUCCUUACCACUGGAGGGUUGUAGGCAAAAGCCAGGUUGGGGAGGAUGGGGUACUACUCAUCGGAUAUAUGCUUCCUUGGUGCUGAUGUAGGGCAUAUGAAGAAAGACGGCUGCCCCGGUGAGCUGCAAGCCUGAAUCUAUGUGAUUCCAAGGGGUAGGAGAAUAGGUGGGGGGCAGUAAAUGUCGGGGUGGGAGGAGGUGAAAAGGAAGAAUGGUGAGGAUGGGAGAGAACUGAGUUAGUUGGGACAGAGAUGAUGUAGAGUGGAUUUAGGCAGAAAUAUUUAGCCUGAGAUCUAACUUACUCUGAAAAGUUAAGCAAUGGAAAGAAUGUGCCAGAGAGAGGUUAAUGCCCCCAAAGUUACACAGCUGCGACAGUGGCAGAGCCCAGAUUUGAACUGCAAUCUCUGUGGCUCUAAGGUCCAUGCUUACCAAUCAUCUGGUCUAAUCCCUUCUUCUAACAGAUGAAGACGAAGAGGCUUUGAGACAUGAAGUGACUUGCCCAAGGACACCAAGAUAUUCCAGCAAAACGAAUCCUAGAACCACCAAAACCCAGUGAAAUACUCCUUCCAGGCCAUUCAUGGCCUCCUACACAAUCAGAGAGAAAGUGGAGGGGGAGGUACUGAAUCCCUACAAGGCUCUGAAAAGGCCCCUUCCCUCGUCUGUGCCCGUCACCUCCUUGACAAACUAGGGAGGAGGCUGACGAGGUGUCACAGGGAGUGUGAGGCACUUGGAAAAUAUAAAUCCCUUGAUGAGGAGAGUCCAAGCAAUUACUUACUUGUCAACUUAGGAGGGUAGGGCGGGAUUAAUCUGAGCUCAAAGAUCAGGGUGAAAACAAAGGUGUAAUUAUUACUAUAACAAUGAUAAUAAUUUAUUAACCUGCAGAUUCUAUACAAAUAUUACUCCACCCUUGAGUAGUUUACCUGUUGCAAUUGGGGCUAAGCCACUGGUGAAGGUGGGGAUGGGACGGAGAGAGGUAACCAGAAACGACGACGGCCAGAAGGUAAGAAAACAAACUGGAGAAAGCAAACCUGCCGAUGAGCGGGUGAUGGAGGCUGACGGUGGUCUGACAGGCAAGACAUCUGAUAGUAAAAUCAUAAGCUGUUUCUAGCAGGGAAGGUUUUUCAGUGGAAACCAAAUUUCUCAUUUUUUUGUAUCAGGAACUAAAAACAAGAAUGUUAAGUGAACUACCUAAGAUCACAUAGCUUGUCAGUGACAGAACUUGAACUAGAACUUGAGUCUUUUUACACUUAGUUCUGUGCUGGUCCAAGAAGAACCUACAUGCAAGCCGGAGAGUGCAGCACAUUGGGGAAGAGAAAGACCAGAAGACAAGGUGUUACGAUACAGGUCACAGGGGCUGGUUCACUCCGAUCAAAUGCCCGUCUCGGUUUUCCAUCAACACCCUCCCCCCGCCAAUGCAGUUCAAAAAAUAUAAGAGGGCCCAAAUCAAACUGGCUUAGAGUGGGAGAGAAAUUGUCGGCUCCCAGUAAGAUAACGUGCUGCUACCACUGGAGCUUUUUUAUUUUUCCAGAAGUGAGAAUCCAUAUAAAGGAAGAAGAAAAUAAGACAUCAUGAACCAAUGCCUUCUAGUAAUUUCCCUCCCCUCUCGAAUCAAGCACCCUCGGGUCUCCCAUCUACAUAUUCUCACAGCAACACGCACCUCUUCUUGGCAGCCCUGACCACCGAGGUGACUUUACCUGGAGUCUUGGGGCUACAUGAUUGACACCUGCUUCCCUUGCUAGACUGCAAGCCUGGUCAGGGCAGCGAUGCCCUCUGACUGUAUCACCACUUUGUCUUUGCUUCCUGGUUUGGAAUUUGGCUGUAGUAGCUAAGAUGCGCCACCCAGACCCCCUGAGAGGAAGACCUUGCUGCCCAUCUGUGGGGAACACAGCCAGCAGACAGCCCUCCCGCUGUCAGCAACUUCAGGGUCUGGCUCAGCUGCAGAGAGCGGUACCUCUGAAGGCCAUACCUUUGGGGAGUGGGCAGUCCAUGUUUGGUGACUGAGUGAAGCAGGGGGUAGUGGAUUGACUGGUGGUCCCCAAAAGGUCCCCAAAGAUGUCCUAACCCCCAGAACUUGUGAAUGAGACCUUAUCUGGAGAAAGGGUCUCUGCAGAUGUAACUAAGUUAAGGAUCUCGAAAUGAGGUCGUUUGGGGUUUAGAAUGGGCCCUAAAUCCAGUGACAGAUGUCCUUAUGAGAAAAAGGCAAAAGUAGAUUUGAGACUGAGACACACAGAGGAGAAGUCACGUGAAGACAGAGGCAGAGACCGGAGGGAUGCUGCCACAAGUCAGUGGGACACUUGGAGCCACCAGAAGCUGGAAGAGGCCAAGAAGGAUGCUCUCGCAAGCUUAGGAGGGAGCACGGCCCUGCUGACACCCUGACGCUGGACUUCUGGCCUCCAGAACUGCGAGGGAAGGAAAUUCUGUUGUUGCCAUUGGUUACAGCAUCCCUAGGAAAUCAACACACAGGGGGCAUAAAGGGCUGCAUCUGGGCCACUGCGGCAUGACUGUCACUAGUUCCUGCUCCAGAGUUCACCGCUGGGUCCCUGAGGUUCCGUCAGGCCUAAACCAUGUUUGACUUUUUCUUCUGCUUAAUCUGCUUUCUUCCUUCCUCCUCCAACAGAUUUUGAUCCCUAAUAAACACCUCACACUCUAAACUCGGGCUCCCGAGAGCUGCUUCCAGAGAACCCAGCAUGACACGCUAUAAUAAGAUAUUUGACUAAAGGCUGUGAUUUGCCCAAGUUCACACACCUGGCCAGUGGUGGAUGGAGCCAAGGAGAACGGGUGCUUUUGCCAGGGUGACGCUGCAUCCGUUGGCUGCUUUAGGUGGAGCAAGACAGCCGUGGCUAUUCUGCACAAAGCACAGCAGAUGAAGAUGCCCAGCCUGCCAGACGGUGUCCUGCGGUUUCCCAUGCUGUUCCAGACCAGUCACAGGUUACAGUCCUCUUAGCGAGAGCCACACGCCGAGCUGGAAUCCCAGCGUGGAGCCUCGGGCUGGGGGCAUGGCGUGUGACAGAAAGAGCGGAGGCUGAAUGGAGGGCCCCCCCACCCCAUCUGCUGUUUCUCUGCUCCUUCCUCCUUCUCUUCCUAAAAACAUCGAGGAAAUGCCUGCAAGCUGAGCUCAGAAAGCAUGCGUUACAAGGCCCUGAGCUGGGCAGUGACUGUGCCACACAGACAGUAUCCACGCUCGCUUCCACAAACCUGCCUUCCGCCUUCCCCAACACCACCCCAAAUCGCACAGGACCCUCUGGAGUCUCAGCCCCUCUGGGGAACUCUCCCUUCUCUGAAUUCUCUCACAAUUCACCUCUGGCACAGAGUCUAACAGAGGCUGAACUUCACGCUCUAGUUUCAAACCAACUGUUGAAUGCGUGCAGGAUUGCGUGAGCACCUGAUCAGAGCUACGGCAGGUGUUGGUGACAGGGCGGGAAGGAAGACACAGCCCCUGCCUCGUGGAGCUUACACCCUAGCAUGGAAGACAGAUUAAACAAAGAAUGGCAAGUAGAGUGUUAACACAGUGGAGGUAAGGGCUGCUUGGUGCAGAGAACAAAGGAAGUGAGCUGAAUCAAAGGAUUCAAGGGAAGCCUGCCAGCUUCUGAGUUUUCUUACUCUUUGUGCCUGGAAGUCUAGUCUUCCCUAUAAACUGCAUAUGCUUCAAGACCAGGAGCCAGAUGUGAUUUAGCCCUAAUGUCCUUCGUGAGAAAUCAUCAGAAAACACUGGCGAGUUCGAAUGCAGCUAAUGUGAGUGGUGCCUGUAGGGUCACAUGCUGUCCCAUGUUCCACCCACGGCACCCGAGGGGACUUAGGACACUCCUGGGGCUUCACAAGGAAGAAAAUAUAUACAAAUUGCAUAGGAUUUGCUGCCCCAGUUCCUUGGCCUUGCUUCUUGCUUAGUUUCCUCUCUCUGAGCUGCCCUGGCAUUGGCCUAGAAGGAAUCCUAACCCCCAGUAAAAAUAAAAUGUGGAUCUUACACAAACCUGCGUGAAGGUCACUCAACAGAAAAGUGCCAGGACCCCGAACCCAGCGGCCUGAGCAGAAAGUGGAAAUGCCGACUUUCUUCAUGAAAAGCCCACAAUUAAUUAACUUUAACAGA